rnacentral:rRNA from 1 species
AAGCUCGUAGUUGAAUUUCGGGGUUCUACCGUUGGUCGGGCUAACCAGUCUGUACUAGCGUGUAGAAUUCCUACCUUCUGGGGAACCAUCAUGUUAUUAAUUUAGCGUGGUGGGAAACCAGGACCUUUACCUUGAAAAAAUUAGAGUGUUCAAAGCAGGCUACGUCUGAAUACAUUAGCAUGGAAUAAUAAAAUAGGACGGUGGUCCUGUUUUGUUGGUUUCUGAAUCACCGUAAUGAUUAAUAGGGAUAGUUGGG